rnacentral:lncRNA from 1 species
CCACCUUCAUUAAAAUUAGGCAUUAUCCCAUUAGAAAUCAAUGUAAAUUCUUCGAUGAACAAAGUAAUUGGGUUUGUUCUGGAUGUUUUUUUAUCAUACUUCGAUCGAAAUAUUAGAGUGGCCCUGAUAGUCGUACAAGAGUCGCAGAUCCAGACAUACAAAGGAUGGAAAAGAACGAAGCAAAGGAGAUAAAUGAAUACCCAAUUAAUCAUAUAACAGACUCAUGUUUACCACCAUUUGAUACAUAAGGUCAGAUUUUAUUUCUUUUGUUACAUUUUUAUUUUCUAUUUAAUACAUAUUGUGCUUGUAUUAGAGCUAUUUUUUUUCGAUACAUUUUGAUGAUAUAGAAAGGAUAUAGUGAGUUGAUACAUUUUAGUUGUGAAACUAUGUUAUAUUUCUUUCAUUCAUGAUAUCAUUUUUUGAUACAUUCAUUGUCAUUCGAUACAUUUUCAAUUGAUACAUAUGAAAUUUAGUUAAUUCUGUGAUACAUUUUAUAUGUGCACCUAUUGGUACAUUAUUGCCGGUGAGAAACAAUAUGUGUAAUACUAAUAAAAUUUUGUUGAUGCAUUUUAUAUAUGUAUCAGUUUUUUUAUAUUUACUGCUUAUCAAACAUUUAUUUCAUACCGACCAGAAAACACUAAAUCCACCACCCAACACAAUUUCAGUGAAAUCAGAAUCAUUUAUUCUUCUGACGAAAUUAAAAUCGCCGAACAACCAUAAUUCCAAUGAAAUUUGAAUCGUCAAUAUUGUUGUUCUUUUAAAUUUAAAUAUUAGAAAGUUAAAACUCAAGGGAAAAAGAAGAAAAGAUUAAUAGAGAGGGAAUAAAUUAAGUCAAAUUGUAAAUUCCAAACUGUAGAAAUCGUUUGUCAUCUAGUUUAUUGAAUCGAAAAAAUCAACCGCAGGAAUUUCCCAUUUUAAGUGUUGAAAAAAAAUAAAAAUUGAAGGUAGCGGCGGCAAUAAGUUGCUGGCCGGAAAUUAAAAUUGAGAGAGUAUUUUGUUGAUUGUUAAUAAUGUUAGUUGGGGGAGAAGGUCUAAUAAAGGAGCUCAAAUCGUUUUAACAUGAUACUCCUCUAAAUAAAUGUGAUUUAUGUUAUUUCUUUAUUUGAGUUAUUGAUUAUUUGAAAAUGUAUCCAAACAAAUAUGUAUCACUAUUAAAAAUAUCUAUAUAAAAACCCCAUUUAUGAAAUUUUAUGUAAUUAGGAAAAGUUGUGGUAAGAUUUGCAAUUGACUCCUUAUAUUAUGAGAUUUCUGUAAGUUACUUUUUUUUUUUUUAAUCUCGAUUAUCUUGUUACUUUCUAUGCUUUAAUUUAUUUGUAUGGUAUUAACUUAGACACAAAAUAUAAGAAAAUAAAAUAAAUUCAGGCGCUUCAUCUUUCUUUACUUUAUGAAAAUACAUUGGAUAUGUUGUUGAAUUUUGCGAUCUUAAGUUAAGGCUAUGUAGAAUGUUACAAAUAUUUUAUAACUUUGUGAUUUUGAACAUGUUAUGUGACAAAUUAAAAUUAGAAAGUUGUCAAAAUAAAAAAAAAAGGAGGCAAGUCUUUUGAGAAAAUCUAUCAAAAGAAAAAAGAGUAAGACAAAUAAGUUAAAAUGAAGGACGUACUUUGCUAUUAUUUCUUGAUGUUAUCGUGACUUUCCUUCUUUUUUUGAGUCGAACGUUUAUGGAAGAAAUCUUUUUACCUUAAGGCAGACAAAAGAUCUGCAUACAAAUUAUCCUUCUCUGAUUUUAAUUGUGAGUUGUGGGAUUUCAAUGAGUUUGUCGUUGUUAGAAUUUUAAUUUUAAGUUUGAGGUUUCCAAUUCUCUAAAAUUUAAAUUUAAUCCAUAAUUUUAAUUUUUUUUUUUAAAAAAACGCAUUAUCAAUAUAAACAUAAUUUCUCAAGCCUAGUAUAGUUUUUACUUGACCAAUUUAUAUUUAUAAAAAAUAGAGAAAAGACAUGAAAUCACCUUUAAACUUAUCCCUACCACCUUUAACUUCAUGGACAAUUAUUUAUCCCCUUUUAACAACUUUAUAGUAAAUUAAAUACCACCUUAAUAAUAUAAUACCAUUCUCACAAAGAUAUGUGCAUUACAUACGCACCUCGUCACUGUCAUGUCACUGUCACGGCAAAAAUUAAUUUUAAAAAAUGGUACCACUAUUAUAUAUAUAUAUAUAUAUAUAUGUAUGUAUAUAUAUGUGUGUGUGUGUGUGUAUGUAUGUAUGUAUGUAUAUAAGCCCUUCAUUAAAAUACUCCAUAAUAGACAAAAUCAUCUUUUCACUAUUUGUUUAAAUUAUUAUUUAACUAUUUUAAUAAUAUUAACUAUAAUAUUGAAUCCUAAAAUAUAUAUGAAAAGAAAAAAUUAAGAGUCCCAAAAUAUAUGGUAACAAACAAAUAUUAGGGUAAGAAGAAUUAAAAAAUAAAAAUACUAAACUCCUAAGAUUUAGGAACCAUACGUGUGUAUGACUUUAAUUUUUUUUUUUUUAAAUAAGACAAUGAAACCUAUUUUUUUCUUGAAUAAAAAGCAAAACAAAAGUCUAAAAGAACUAUAAACAAUGUACAGUAAAUGUCUAUUUGUAGUAGUUUAUUAUUUUUGAAAUUUUUAUUCUUCUAAAGUGGUACUUAUUUAUGGAAAAAAAUAUAAAUUUACUAUAUUUAGAUAAUUUCUUUGAAAAUGUUUUAGACUUCUAUAAAUUGAGAAUUCUUUUACAACAAUACAAUAACAUCUUCAAUGAACAUGUGAAAAAUAAAAAAAUAACUUUUGUUCUUAGAUUAUUCUUUAUUGUUUGCUUUAGAAUUAUUUAUUAAAUCAAGAAAUAUGUUUGUUAUAUUUAAUUUACUUUAAGGUGCAUUGAUUUUGUAGGUAUCUUGAUGAUCCGAAUUUUGAAAGGUGAUUAAUUUCGCGUGAUAAUUUUUAGUUUGAAUGAUAUAAAUUAUUGUAGCUAUUCAUUCUUAUUUUUUUCAUUUAACAAUCUUUUCUUUAUCUCCUUUUAUGAUAUGAUAUGUAGUUUAUCAAAUUUUUCGAUAAAGAAAAAAUUAGUAUGGUGAAAAGCAUAAUUAAAUCUGCCCAUAGAAAUAAUGGACAAAGAGACACAACAGGAGACAAAGAAGAGAACAAGCGAACGUUUCUCCAAAAGUAUUCACAAUAUGAAAGAGUUGAUAAACGUUUCUCAAAAGUAUUCAUGAAUGAAGUAAAAGUUCAAUGUAUAGUACAAUUCCGAGUCUAUUUGAAUCUAUUUAGCAAGACAUACAAAGCAUGAGGUUUGGCUAAAUUGAACUCACCUUUUGAGAUUAUUUUUUUUAGUAAUAUUUUAAAAGGUGAAAUUGAGAAUAUUCAUUAUUAUAUGAGAAUAAUUUCUCUUUUGGUUAUUUUUUUUCAUCUUAUAUAUAUANNNNNNNNNNNNNNNNNNNNNNNNNNNNNNNNNNNNNNNNNNNNNUUUAUAUAUAUAUAUAUAUUUAACAUUACUUGAAUUAAGAAGUAGUGGUUGAUAGAUGUUGUCACCAAGGUAAGUUAAAGAUGUUAGGCAUUAUGCUUCUGUUCUGUUAAAUAUGUGUUAGAAUUUCUUCAAAAGUAUUCACAGUACGGAAGAGUUCAUAAACUUUUCUUCAAAAGUAUUCAUGAAUGAAGUAAAAAUUCAAAGUACAGUACAAUUCUUGGGGUCUAUUUGGCAAGACAUACGAAGCACGGGGUUGGCUAAAUUAAACUACAUCUACAAUAUAUCAAAUUCAUUAACCACUUGAAACUUCUGGUGAUAAAAUAUAUCUAUAUGUGCUUACAAUAAAAUAUAUGUUUUGAACUUUUUGCACCUCAUUAAAAACCUUCAUAUUAGAUAAAAUCGUUUAAUUUUAAAUAUUUUAAAGUUACACGUGCGACUAAACUAGUAUAUAUAUAUAUAUAUUAUAAUAAUAAUAAUAAUAAUAAUAAUAAUAAAAAUAAAAAAAAAAACUCACUUUCUUCUUCACACCCCUUCCCCUAUUACCACUCAUCCCACACCAUUCCACCCACUGUAACAACACAAAGAAUUUCACCAUUAACACAAAAGAUUCUCACCCUUCACCCAUUACAUAGAAAUAAUAGUCAUACCUGCACAUUAACAAACUCAUUUUGAUUUUUUUCUCUUGAACGAUAAUUUAUAUAGAGAAGAAAACAAUCGAUCAAUUUAUCUCCUCCAUCGAAGAUUAGGCUCAUUCAACUCACCAUUCACUACUAAAAAAAAGGGGAAACCGACCAAAUGUGGUCAGUUUUCUCCAAUUUUUGACCACAAAACCGAUCAAAAUGUGUGGUCGGUAAAGUAGUGGUAGUUUUUUAAAAUUCAUUAUUAUUUUAUUAAAAUUAGAAAAAAUAAUUUUUUUAAAAAAUCGACCACAAGUGAUCGGUUUUCUGGAAAAAAGAAUUCAAAAACCGACCACUUGUGGUCGGUUUUUCUGGAAAAUUUUAAAAAAAUAAAAAUCAAAACUCAAAUACAGCAUGCAACAAAAACAAUCCAAUACAGCAGAAACCAAAUCCAAUACAGCAGCAACAACAACCAAAAACUAAAUGUAAAUACUUUCAAAACUGUACAACACAUACAAAAUGUCCAACAAAAGUUAGUAUGAAAAAACUACAACAAUAGUUUCAAACAACAAAAUGUCUAAAUUCAAAGUAGAACACAUACAAAAAUAAAAAAACUAAAAGUUAUUGUCAUUGAAUUCGUCCUCGUCUUCCAUAUCAUCAUCCGUGCUAAAAUCAUCCAGAGGGAUAGACCUUUUGCAGUCCGAACUGCAUCACCAGGACACGGAGGAAUAACCCCUGCAGUCUGAAUGAAAGAGCUGAACUACUGCUGCAACAUCUUGAUUUGUGAUGUUGUUGUCUUCUCCGUCUUCUUCUGCCCCUCUCUCUGUUCAGCAAACCCCUCUCUCUGUUCAGCAAGCUCUUCAGUGAGUUGAGAAACUAUGUUUUAUAGUCUUUCAAUGGUUUCUCUAUCAACUGAAGAGCUAGAGUAUGCAGCACUGGACGAACACCUAAUAUUAUCGUCAAACAAUUUUGUGUGGUAUCCGUAGAAAUGACCUCUAUUUGCUCGCAGCUUUUGUCCAUAACUUCUCCUGUACAUGUUGUGGUAUUGGGUCACCCUGACUUUCAGGAGGCUGACUACUACAAUACUCACCAAUAAGACGCGUAUAUUCAUCCUAUAUUCAAAGUAAAGUUAAUACUAAAAGUCAAAAAAUAUUAAAGUAGUUAUAAUUGAAUAAUAUCAACUUUGAGAAAAAGAUUCAUAAAUUCAAAAAAAAAUUCUUACGUGGACAACUUUUGCACUAGCUUCAACCCAGACAUCUUCAUCAGUCGGGUUCUUUUUUUUCAGAUGAGUUUGCUCGAAUAGCUCAUUAGUUGGUAUUUCCCUACCCUUUUCUUUUUCCUGCAUAUGAAAACAUUAUCAAUGUUCAAAUAAUAAAAAAUUUAAAUAGAAAUAAAUAAUUUAAACUGUAAAAGUUACAUACCAUUUUUCCUUCACAACAAGAGUACUUCUGGUACCCGCAGUAUGUAGGGAGCCACCCUUGGAUGAUGCCCGGACUUUCUUUCCUUUUUCUCUCAAUAAUUGGUAUUCUGUGCUACUCUAACGGUGAAGGUACAGUUGCCAUGCGACUUCAAGAGUCCACUUAGAUUUUACCAAUUUCUUUCGGGCACAAUCCAAGAGAUCGUUAAAUCUGGCUCUACAUCUUAUGAAAAAGUUCUUCUUUAUAAGAAAUGUAUUUGCAUAAUUCCACCAGUAAAUUUCUAUAACAAAAAUAUAAUAUUCAAUCUUUUGUUCUAACAAAGUGUUAAUAAGUAGUCGAUAAGUUAAAUCCUUACCUUAAAUUCUUUAAACAUUCUAUCCCUGUCAAGUUCUGGAACUUUUUGCCAGCUGGUCCAGUAGCCGUUGAAAUACUGAAUAAUGCAUAUUCACGCCUUUUGUCCAACUCCAGCAUCCGGCCUAAACCUAUAACACAAGAUCAAACAACAAUUUGAGCAUAAUAAUAUAGUAAUGAAAAAAUGAGUAACGUUAUUAUAUUUAGAAAUCUUACCCUCUCGCAACUGGAACAAGAUAAAUCCUCUCAGAAUCAUCUCUGUCUCCUGGCUGCUUAGUAACUGAUGGUGGAUGCACUAUCGUGUGCGGAUUUGAAGCACCAGAUGGAGUGCCUUCAAGCUAAAGAUCCGAUAACCCAAUAGAUCCAUCUGAAUCAGUACGUGAAGCUGCGUGACUGCUGCAGGAGGGUAUAGAUGAUGGUAGAUGUCUGGAGGGGCCAGCGGCCGUCCGAUAGUAUUGUGCUGGCGGUAGCAUGGUUAUAAGAGCAGAGUGAGUCGAUGUAGACCCAUGUAAUGGCCCCACAUGCGUAGGAGUAGUAUCGAAUCCUCGGACGACCUAGAAUAUGAGGGUCGUGCUGUCGCGUCAAAAAAUCGACCCUCAGAUAUAUGAAUACCUGUCGGUCAUCUAUAAGGCGGAGGUUGUCUUUUCUUUCUAGUUUCGUAGUAUCAACUUUUCCUUUACCUUUGUCACCUUUGCCUGACAUCUAAAUUAUGUUAAGUUAACAAGUAGUUAGUUCCUACAAAAUGAAUGUAUAAGGAAACAUUUCAAGUAUAUAAUUUCAAGUUACUAAUUCACAUUUCAAAUCGCUCCAACAACACGACAUAUGGACAAUUUUUUUUAUUACUAUAUAAAUCAUGGAAAAGUGGAAACAACAAACUUAAAUAGUAUAUUACAUAUCAAUCUUAAACAAGAAACAUAAAAGUAAAUAUAUAGUACAAAACAUAAAGACAUCAAUACAUAAUAAAUACAACCUACACAACUAAUCCUCCUCUUCUGAAGACUCUCCACUAAACCAUUCACCGUCUUCAGAGGUUUUCUCAUCUCCUAUCCCCUCAGCCUCUUCUUUCGCAAUAGUAACUUCUUCAAAUAUAUUUUUUGGGUGAUUCAAACAGUCCACUAAUUCAACAUCCACUAGCUGGUGAUCAAUCUGCAUUUCAUUUUGAUGCGCAGUCUCUAGCACAUUCUCAACUUCCACUCGGCUUAUAAGCUUUGUUUUGAUUAUAGCCCACCAAUCAGACUUGUCAUUGCACAACGAAUAAGGAGAAUAAUACACUUGUUUAGCAUUUUGCAUUAAAAUAAAUGGAUCGUAAAUAGGAUACGAGAUAUUGUGCUUCACUUCAAUGAUGUUAUGCUCCCUAUGUACUCUUGUGCCUCUUGUGCUUGGAUCAAACCACUUACAUCGAAAGAGGAUAAUUUUUUUAUUGGGAAAUCAACAUACUCCAGUUCUAAGAUCUCGUGUAUGAUGCCAAAGUAAUCAACAUCAUCAUCAACCUUAAUCCAAAUACCACUAUUAUUUGUUUUUCUUGUUUUGAAAUGUUGUUCGGUGGAAAAUUUAAACCCAUUUUUGAAAUGUUGUUCGGUGGAAAAUUUAAACCCAUUUACUUUAUAUUGGGAUAUUUCAUUAGCUUCAACUGGACCCAAAGAAAUAUCUCUCAAGAGCUGAUCGUAUGCAGCUGCAUUUGAUGAAUGGUGUACCUAAAAAUAUUAUACAUAUAUAUAUUUUAGUUGAGGAAUGUGUAAAUGUUUAAACUUUGUAGAAAUAUUAAUACACUUACGAACCUUAUUUUUAAACGAUGUUGCAAAGGAUGCAUACACUUGAUUUUCUUGGAAUUGAGGCUUAAAUGAACUGAACAUCCAACAUGGAAAACACAAUUAGUUUUUUAAGGAAAUGAGUAAACAAAUAAGAUAUGUUAAAAUUUUAAUCUCCUUACUUCAAAAAGGGCUCAAUUUCCGGGCAAUUCAGUAUGACAUACAAAGUUGCUGAUUUGCGCUUCGUGGGAGUGAACAGACGAGGUAUGGUCUUUUUAGCCCUGCAAUCAGAUUGAUUGAAAAUUGAUAUCGAUUGCAAAUGAGGCUCAUUCACAUCGUCUUGAUGACGAUUUGAUCUAUUUUUUGAACAAGCAACUUCAUCACGAAAGUAGUAUGAACAAUAUUGAGAAGUUUCUCUCGCAAGAUAUGCCUCAACUAUAGAGCCUUCAACCCUAUGUUUGUUUUUGGGACCCCUUUUCAAUUUUUCAAUUGCCCUGUACAAUCUUAAGGUUGAUGUUUACUAUAUUUAAAAAAGAUAUAUAUGAAUUUAAAUAUGUUGCAAAUGCUUACCGUUCGAAUAGAUACAUCCACCUAAUUUGAACUGAACCGCCUAGCCAAUCUUCGUGCCCAAGGUAAAUGGGAAGAUGUUCCAUCGCAUCGAAGAACGCUGGCGGGAAAAUCUUCUCCAGCUUAUUGGUGAUAACAACAAUAUUACUUUUCAUUCGCGCCAGAUUUUCUUCUUUUAAUGUGGUGGCACAUAAGUCUUUGAAGAACAAACUGAUCUCUGCUAUUGGUUUUCAUAUGUUUUCAAGUAAACCAGUAAAAACAAUUGGAAGUAAUUGUUCCAUGAAAACAUGACAAUCAUGGUUUUUCAUUCCAUGCAAGAUUCCUUGUGUCAUAUCAACCCUCUUUCCCAAAUUUGAGGCAUAUCCAUCGGGUAUCUUCAAACUUUGAACCCACUCAUAUAUUUGACAUUUUUGGUCCAACUUGAAUGUAAAACUAGCCUUGGGCUUAAGAACAUUGUCAUUGGGCCCCUGCUGUAAGUGUAAUUUUCUGCGGUUGCAAUAUUCUGGUAAGUGAAGUCUGGCCUUAGGAUUAUCCUUUGUUUUGCUAGUGACAUCCAUAACUGUGUUGAACAAAUUGUCAAAAUAGUUCUUCUCAGUAUGCAUGCCAUCAACAUUAUUUGGCAGUAAAUUAACUGGUCAAUAUUCUAACUCCCAAAAUAUACUUUGCUUAGUCCAGUUAUGCGAAAUGCCAUAUCCAUCAAGCUUGUACAAUCGUUCCUCGCUGACUUUAGGCAAAUCCUAAAAUAUUUCCCAGAUGUUAUGACCAGACAGCCUUGGAGGUGGACCAUCAUGUUCCCUUCUAUUCCUUCUGAAUGCAUUCUUGAGUCUCCUAAAUUCAUAAUCAGGUGGCAAGAAACAACGAUGACAAUCAAACUAUGAAUUUUUCCUGCCAUGUCUCAAUAUGAAAGAUUUUGUUUUUGCUAUGCAGUAUGGACAAGCCAGUUUUCCAGCUGUCAUCCACCCAAACAAUAUUCCAUAAGCAGGAAAAUCAUUAACAGUCCACAUUAUAUAUGCACGCAGAUUGAAAUUCUAUUUAAGAGAGAUGUCCCAAGUUUCAACCCCCUUAUGCCAUAAAAUUUGAAGUUCAUUAAUCAAAGGUUGCAGGUAAACAUCUAUUCCGCUUUUUGGAUUACGCAGGCCAGGAAUAACAUAAUUUAAAAAUAUAUAAGGACUAGUCAUUAACAGUUCAGGAGAAAGAUUACAAGGAGUGCUAAAUACAGGCCAAUAUGAAUAUGGCGCACCACCAAUUGAAAAAGGAGAGAACCCAUCCGCACAUAAUCCCAAUCGAAUGUUUUGUGGCUCAGUUGGAAAAUCUGGAUAAGUCGCAUCAAAAUGCUUCCAAGCCUCUCCAUCAGAUGGAAGCCACAUAACACCAGUGCGCCUUCUAUUUUCACUGUGCCAUCUCAUAUGAGGAGCUGAGCUGUUUAAAGCAUACAACCUUUUCAACCUUGGUAUAAGAUGUAAAUAAUGCAUCGCCUUAAUAACAAUUUUAUUUCCAGUAGAACCACGUUUAUAUCGAGAGUGCUGACAAAACUUAAAGAACUCUAGCAUAGCAUCUUCCUUAAAGUAUAACAUGCAUCCAUUUUCACUACAAUUAAUUCUAACUGAUGAGAGACCUAACUUUGACACCAAUCUUUUUGCCUUAUAGAAAGAAUCAGGAACCUCCAAGCCGGGAUCAACUAACUCUUUAAUAAGGUUUAUCAUUGAGUCCAUUCCUCCUUCAGCAAUAUUUUAGUCAGAUUUAAUACUUAAUAAUCUAACAGCAACAGACAAACGAGAGUGCGAACACCCAUCAAAUAGAGGACAACUAGCAGCAUGCAAUUCUUUGUAGAAAUUGCCCUCUUCGCUAUUAGGAACAUCUUCAAAAUUUUUCCAAAAGUCAACCUCAUGUUGCAUCCCUAAAUCAUCGUGCACCAUUUCUGUCAUCCUAGUAUCUUGAUAUUUAUUAUUCUCUCCAGACCUACUACUUUCUCUAACAACAAAGUUAUUUUGCGCAACAUCCCCAUGAAUACCAUCGAAUCUUAAAAAGUCAUCGUGAAACCCCUUUCUAUUAAGAUGUUUCUUUACACCUUCUUCACUUACAAGAUUUAUACCAUCACUUCUAACACAAGGACAACGAAUAACCCGAUAAUGUGUCCACAUAUCAAGUGUCUUAGCAUGUUCAACAAAUCUUUUGACACCUUCAACGAAUUCCUCCCUAAUACCCAUUCUAUUAUCAUUUUUCGUUGAUAUAUUCAGCUAUAAUCAGGUUUUAUCUACGCAAUCAAUCAGAUUCAACUAAUUAGAUCAAUUCACAAAAAUUUAACCAUUUUCAAGUAACUAAGUCAUCUACCAAGCCACAUUCAAAACAAAAAAAUCCCCUUUAAAGCCCCCACACUUAACUAUUUUCAACCAACUAAGUAUCAAAACAAAACCACAUUCAAAACACAAAAUUCCCUUCAAAGUCCCUAGACUUAACCAUUUUCAACCAAAUAAAUCACCUACCAAACCACAUUCAAAACAAAAAAAUCCUCUUUCAAGUCCCUAAACUUAAACAUUUUGAAGCAACUAAGUCACCAACCAAACAACGUUCAAAAUAAAAAAUCUCCUUUAAAGUCCCUAAACUUAACCGUUUUCAAGCAACUAAGUCACCUACCAAACCAAUUCAAAAACAAAAAAAACCCUUUAAAGUCCCUACACUCAACUAUUUUCAACCAACUAAGUGUCAAAACAAAACCAUAUUCAAAAUUAAAAAAUCCCCUUUUAAGUUCCUAAACUUAGCCAUAUUCAAGUGACUAAGUCACCUACCAAACCACAUUCAAAAUAAAAAAUCCCCUUUAAAAUCUCUACAUUUAACCAUUUUCAAUCAACUAAGUAUCAAAACAAAACCACAUUCAAAACACAAAAUCUCCUUCAAAGUCCCUAGACUUAACCAUUUUUAACCAACUAAGUCACCUACCAAACCACAUUCAAAACAAAAAAAUUCCCUUUAAAGUUCUCAAACUUAACCAUAUUCAAGUGACUAAGUCACCUAACAAACCACAUUCAAAAUAAAAAAAUCUCCUUUAAAUUCUCUACACUUAACCAUUUUCAAUCAACUAAGUAUCAAAACAAAACCACAUUCAAAACACAAAAUCCCCUUCAAAGUCCCUAGACUUAACCAUUUUUAACCAACUAAGUCACCUACCAAACCACAUUCAAAAUUAAAAAAUCCUCUUUAAAGUCCCUAAACUUAACCAUUUUAAAGCAACUAAGUCACUUAUCAAACUACAUUCAAAAUAAAAAAAUCCCCUUUAAAGUCUCUAAACUUAACCAUUUUCAAGCAACUAAGUUACCUACCAAACCACAUUCAAAAUAAAAAAAUCCCCUUUGAAGUCCCUACACUUAACCAUUUUCAAGAACUAAGUAUCAAAACAAAACCACAUUCAAAAUAAAAAAAAUCUCUUUUAAAGUUCCUAAACUUAAUCAUAUUCAAGUGACUAAGUCACCUACCAAACCAUAUUCAAAACAAAAAAAUCUCCUUUAAAGUCCCUACACUUAACCAUUUUCAACCAACUAAGUAUCAAAGCAAAACCACAUUCAAAACAAAAAAAAUCCCCUUUAAAGUUCCUAAACUUAACCAUAUUCAAGUGACUAAGUCACCUACCAAACCACAUUCAAAAUCAAAAAUUCCCUUUAAAGUCCCUACACUUAACCAUUUUCAACCAACUAAGUAUCAAAACAAAAUCAAAUUCAAAACACAAAAUCCCCUAAAAAGUUUCUAGACUUAACCAUUUUCAACCAACUAAGUCACCUACCAAACCUCAUUCAAAACAAAAAAAUCUCCUUUAAAGUCCCUAAACUUAACAAACCACAUUCAAAACAAAAAUCCUCCUUUAAAGUCCCUACACUUAACCAUUUUCAACCAACUAAGUAUCAAAACAAAACCACAUUCAAAAUAAAAAAAUUCCCUUUAAAGUUUCUAAACUUAACCAUAUUCAAGUGACUAAGUCACCUACCAAACCACAUUCAAAACAAAAAAAUCUCCUUUAAAGUUCCUACACUUAACCAUAUUCAAGUGACUAAGUCACUUACCAAACCACAUUCAAAUCCCUACACUUAACCAUUUUCAAACAACUAAGUAUCAAAACAAAACCAAAUUCAAAACACAAAAUCCCUUAAAAAGUUCCUAGACUUAACCAUUUUCAACCAACUAAGUCACCUACCAAACCACAUUCAAAACAAAAAAAUCUCCUUUAAAGUCCCUACACUUAACCAUUUUCUACCAACUAAGUAUCAAAACAAAACCAUAUUCAAAAUAAAAAAAUUUCCUUUAAAGUUCCUACACUUAACCAUAUUCAGUGACUAAGUCACCAAACAAACGACAUUCAAAACAAAAAAAUCCCCUUUAAAGUUCCUACACUUAACCAUAUUCAAGUGACGAAGUCACCAAACAAAUGACAUUUAAAACAAAAAAAUUCCCUUUAAAGUCCCUACACUUAACCAUUUUCAACCAACUAAGUCACCUACCAAACCACAUUCAAAAUAAAAGAAUUUCCUUUAAAGUUUCUACACUUAACCAUUUUCAAGUGACUAAGUAUCAAAAUAAAACCACAUUCAAGAAACAAGCAACAACAACACCUACAAGAUAUCAACAACAAUGCUAGUGAAUCGAAUAAGGCCACACACGACUUCACUAGACUUCAAUAUAAAAAAUAACGAGAAGAUAACAACAACGCUAUUGAAUCGAAAAAGGUCACACACGGCUUCACUAGACUUCAAUAUGAACAAUAACAAGAAGAUAACAACAAUAGUGAAUCGAGAGAAAUUAACUUACCUUUGCUUGGCCUAAAUUAAAGUGAAAGAGAUAAUCGGUCACCAAAUCAAGAACCUAAAAAAAUCAAGACAAAAUAUUCCAACUUUGAGUGAUUUAGCAAAACUCAUAUAAAAAAUAACAAGCUAAAGUGUGCUUUAAAGACAAUAAGUUAAACCCUCAUAAAAAACAACAAGCUAAACCAUAAAAUCCAUUCAAGAAUCUUACAAAAUCACAAUUAAAGAUUCCAACUUUGAGGAUUUAUACAAUCAAUAACUUCAAUCAAGCAAAAUUCAUAUCUAAAACAAGAAGCUAAACAAGCAAAACUAGUUCAAACAAUUAUGUGUAUAGCUCAAAAAUUUCGCAAAUAACUAAACAAAAUUCGACUAGUUCAAACUAACCUAAUCUUCACCAUUAUAAAUUUCACAAUUAUAUAAAUUAGUACACCUAUAAAUCAACCUCAAAAAGCAUAAAUUUCACAAAAUACAAUAAAAUUCCUACCUGAGCUGAGCUGUGGCCGGAGCACUCGCCGGAGAAGUGGGUUUUCCAAUUGGAAAAAUUAAUUUGGGUGUGUUUAGGGUAUUUUUGUGUGUGUGAGUGAUUUGUGUAUGUGUGUUUGUGUGUUUAGGUCGACUUUAGGAAAUAUUUUAGGUCGGAUCGGGUCAGGUCAUGUGGGGGUGGGGUCGGGUAGGAGUUAUAUAAUUAGAUUAUUUUUUUUAUUAUUUUGUUGAAAACCAACCAAUUAUUGUUGGUUUUCUGGAUAUUAUUAUAAAAACCGACCACAUGUGGUCGGUUUUUAACAAAAUAAUAAUAAAAAUAUUUUAAUUACUACAAUUAAUAAAUUAAAAUUAAUUUUAAUAAAUUAAUUUUUUAAUAAAUUCUAUAAUAUUUAUAACAAUAACACCAGUAGUAUAUUUCUUCAAUCGUAUAAUAAUAUUAACAAAUAAAGCAAUUUAUAAUAAAUUUUUAGUUAAUUAGCUUUUAUUUAUGAUAUUAUAUAUAUAUGUAUACAUAUAUAUAUAUAUAAUAUCAUAAUUAAAUGCUAAUUAGUAAAAAAUUUAUCGUAAAUUGCAAAAUUCAUUGAUAUAUAUGUAUAUACCUCUUAAUAGAAUAUGUUAAUCAAAUAAAUUAUUGAUUACUUGUCUUACGUUAUUACAACUUCAACAAUAUACGCGUAUCUAUAUAUUGAUACUAAAUAGUAGAGAAAAGACAUCAAAUACCCACUAAAGUUCUCCUGAAUUUGCAAGUAGACACUUAAACUUUGUAAAUGUCCUAUUACCCCAUUAAAUAAUUUAAAAGUGGAAUAAAUGUCAUUUUUUGGCCAACAUCAGUUGCAAGACAAAAGAGUGCAAUCACGCACCAAUUACAAUUUGCCAUGUGUUAAAUAUUUAUUUUUUAUUUUCAUUUAUAUUUUUCUUAUUUUAUUAACUCUAAUUCUUUUUUACUUUUUACUCUAAUUCUAAUUCUUUUUUAUUUUUUCUCUUCCAUCUUAUCUUGCUCAUAUAUACUUCAAUCCAAAGAGAGAAGCGACAUUUGCAGGACACAGAUGGUAGGAGGAAACAACCUCAUGAUUCAGAUAACAGGAGAAAACAUUCCUGUUUUAGAAGAUAAGAGGAAGCAUACACGCGAUUCAGAUGACAGGAGGAAACAUAAGAAAGACAAGUAGAAGAGAAGAAGACAUGAUUCUGAUUCAGAUUAAACUUGUAUAAUCCUUGUACUUAUUGUAUGCUUGCUAAUUCAUAUUAAACUUGAU